CCUACGGGUGGCAGCAGUGGGGAAUAUUGGACAAUGGGGGGAACCCUGAUCCAGCCAUGCCGCGUGUGUGAAGAAGGCCCUCGGGUUGUAAAGCACUUUCAGUGAGGAAGAACGCCUGGUGGUUAAUACCCAUCAGUAAAGACAUCACUCACAGAAGAAGCACCGGCUAACUCCGUGCCAGCAGCCGCGGUAAUACGGAGGGUGCGAGCGUUAAUCGGAAUUACUGGGCGUAAAGCGCGCGUAGGUGGCUUGAUAAGCCGGUUGUGAAAGCCCCGGGCUCAACCUGGGAACGGCAUCCGGAACUGUCAAGCUAGAGUGCAGGAGAGGAAGGUAGAAUUCCCGGUGUAGCGGUGAAAUGCGUAGAGAUCAGGAGGAAUACCAGUGGCGAAGGCGGCCUUCUGGACUGACACUGACACUGAGGUGCGAAAGCGUGGGUAGCAAACAGGAUUAGAUACCCUGGUAGUC
rnacentral:rRNA from 1 species